rfam:Drosophila virilis strain TSC#15010-1051.87 Ctg01_6444, whole genome shotgun sequence.
CAAAAGGCCCUUUUUAGGGCCACUAAUUUUUUUUUCAAGGAAUUA